CGGAUGUAGCCAAGUGGAUCAAGGCAGUGGAUUGUGAAUCCACCAUGCGCGGGUCAAAU
rnacentral:tRNA from 1 species